CGCGGUAAUACGGAGGGUGCGAGCGUUAAUCGGAAUUACUGGGCGUAAAGCGUACGCAGGCGGUUUGAUAAGCGAGAUGUGAAAGCCCCGGGCUCAACCUGGGAACUGCAUUUCGAACUGGCAAACUAGAGUGUGAUAGAGGGUGGUAGAAUUUCAGGUGUAGCGGUGAAAUGCGUAGAGAUCUGGAGGAAUACCGAUGGCGAAGGCAGCCACCUGGGUCAACACUGACGCUCAUGUACGAAAGCGUGGGGAGCGAACAGGAUUAGAUACCCUGGUAGUCCACGCCGUAAACGAUGAGUGCUAAGUGU
rnacentral:rRNA from 1 species